AGACAGAGCCAAAAUGGAAGGCGGGACAAGGGCGGCCUGGCUGGGGCGAGGGGCUGGUCUAGGUCCCUGGGAACCCCUUGCCUUGUGGGCUUCGGUCUCCAGGGAGGAGCUAGGCAGCCGGGCUGCGGGGUCGCCGGACUGUGGGGUCCUCCGCGCAGCGAGCUGGGAGGAGCGGUCGGCUGGGCUGUUGAGCUGCGCCUCCUCCAACUGCUGGGAAACUCCGCACUUCAAUAUUGGAGCAUCUCUUUCCUGGGCAGGAAAAUACGCUGCUAACCCCCAGUGGGCCGUAGAUUGGUACUAUCAAUUGAGUCUGUCAUUUGGAGAGACCAAUUUUGAGCAGGCAUCCAGGCAUUGUUCUGCAUCUCUGCAAUGUAUACGUUUUGUGCCGGUGGCUUGACAACCGUCCUUAACUGGUGCUGCCAAUAUGGUGGAAAGCAGGAAGAAGAAAUAAAUGUCUUCUCUGUAAGACAUCACUGUCAAGAACACUGAAAGAAGAACCCAUUAACGUAGGGAACGUUGAGGACUGGAACAGGCGGUAGGGCGUCUUCCUACACUUUGGGUUAUAACUUCCAUUGCAUCACCACCAUUUACCAGUAAACCAGCACACACAGCAAUCAGUACUCGAAAUGGUUCUCUUUUGCAGAAAAAGCCUGCUUUUCUCCCAGCUUUGGUGAGAUAGAUACGUAAUCUUUGUAAAGACCUAUAAGGAAUUCCUCUGUGGAACAAAAUUUUAAGCCUCCAGUACAGGAUGCUGAAAGAAGCAACUCUUUAAUCUUGCCAGCCCAUGCACAGUGAAGCUGAAGUGCUUCAAUUUACAGAUGUUUUACAUUUAGGGAAGGCUUUUCCAACAAAGACCUACCGCAGUUACAUCACAGGCUCCACCUCCGCCUGCCAGGCUGCUUCUGCAAGCCUGUUAGUAAGGAUACUAUGUAUUGCUGUGCUUGAUUAAUGAAGAAAAGAAAUCUCCAAAUC
rnacentral:sRNA from 1 species